UACGGAGGGUGCGAGCGUUAAUCGGAAUUACUGGGCGUAAAGCGUGCGUAGGCGGAAGGGUCAGUCAGCCGUGAAAGCCCCGGGCUCAACCUGGGAACGGCGGUUGAGACGGCCCGUCUGGAGUGGGCUAGAGGAUCGUGGAACUCCCGGUGUAGCGGUGAAAUGCGUAGAGAUCGGGAAGAACACCGAUGGCGAAGGCAGCGAUCUGGGGCCACACUGACGCUGAGGCACGACAGCGUGGGGAGCAAACAGG
rnacentral:rRNA from 1 species